GAUUAAGCUUACUUUUUAAGUUAUAAAAAAAUUUAAAAAUCCUAGAAUAUCAUCUUACGUCAAUGAACUAUUUUAAUUCUUAUUUUUUGAUUGUACAAUGUCAAAGUAGCGAUCUACCAAUAACCAACAAGAAACUAGUUUGUCAUUAAUUGGUAAAAUUGUGAACUUGUAAAAGGAUUUUAUUAAGAUUCUUGGUAAAUAUCAAGUCUUCGACACGAGGCUUAGGCGAGGUUGUGAGGCAUACAGCGACAUGCUGAUGGUAUUACAGUCCUUACGGAUUUAGGGGAUUUGGGCGUUAGGGAUUUGUGAGUUGCGGCUGCUAGUGAAGUGCCAUGAGUGUAGAGUUAGGGACUUAAACUUGUUUUUAAUUUAAGUUAAUAUAUAUUUUUAA
rnacentral:lncRNA from 1 species